rnacentral:rRNA from 1 species
UACGUAGGGUGCGAGCGUUAAUCGGAAUUACUGGGCGUAAAGCGUGCGCAGGCGGUUCGUUAAGUCAGAUGUGAAAGCCCCGAGCUCAACUUGGGAAUGGCAUUUGAAACUGGCGGGCUGGAGUGUGGCAGAGGGGGGUGGAAUUCCACGUGUAGCAGUGAAAUGCGUAGAGAUGUGGAGGAACACCGAUGGCGAAGGCAGCCCCCUGGGCCAACACUGACGCUCAGGCACGAAAGCGUGGGGAGCAAACAGG